rnacentral:rRNA from 1 species
UGAACGCUGGCGGCAUGCGCGGCAGCGCGGGGCAACCUGGCGGCGAGUGGCGAACGGGUGAGUAAUAUAUCGGAACGUACCCUGGAGUGGGGGAUAACGUAGCGAAAGUUACGCUAAUACCGCAUACGAUCUAAGGAUGAAAGUGGGGGAUCGCAAGACCUCAUGCUCCUGGAGCGGCCGAUAUCUGAUUAGCUAGUUGGUNGGGUAAAAGCCNACCAAGGCAUCGAUCAGUAGCUGGUCUGAGAGGACGACCAGCCACACUGGAACUGAGACACGGUCCAGACUCCUACGGGAGGCAGCAGUGGGGAAUUUUGGACAAUGGGCGCAAGCCUGAUCCAGCAAUGCCGCGUGAGUGAAGAAGGCCUUCGGGUUGUAAAGCUCUUUUGUCAGGGAAGAAACGGCCUGUUCUAAUACAGUGGGCUAAUGACGGUACCUGAAGAAUAAG